GGCUGACUGAGCGACAGAGGCUGUAACCGCGAGGACCAGUCAGGUGGGGAGUAGAGCUGUCGCGGGCCGCUGAAGCGCCGGCCUCAGCAACACUUGGGUGAGAGUUCCUGGAGACACCUCCAUCCCGGUCUGAGGUUGCCACCUGUGGAAGUGCCGGAUUAGACGUUGAAAUAAGACGCUUUGCGUGUGCAAAUCAAAGUGUUGGCACUCAGCGUGGAGUCCGCAGGAUCCCGGAAGAGGAGGGAAGGAGAGCUUAAUUCCAAAUAUGACCUCAUUGAGGGAUCGCACCCCAAAUUUCACCAUAUUGUAAAUUUUUUAAAUUCGGAGAUCAUUAUAUGUUGGCUCAGGAAGACAUAUUGAUUUCUUGAUAAUUGAUUUGCUGGCAAUAUAAAAGAAAGACGCCAAAUAUUAGAACAGUGCUUAGCGGGCGCCCUGAGGAACGGCCUGUAAUCCCAGCAGCUCCCGAGGCUGAGGCAGAAGACUCGCAAAUUCCAGGCCAGCCUCAGCAACUUAACCAGGCCCUGGGCAACUUAGCAAGACCCUGUCUCAAAAUAGAAAAUAAGAAGAACUGGGCUGGGGUCGUAGCUCAGUGGUUAAGCUAAC
rnacentral:lncRNA from 1 species